GGUAUUAACAAAUCUUGAUAAAUAAAAUUCCGUCUUCAAAUAUAAAUAAUGUAAUAUUUUUUUUAUGACAAUUAAGUGUCUAUAGCUGCAUCUGUGACAAUAUAUGAAGCAGUAAGCUUAUACAAAGGUAGUAAAAUAAUUGAAUCAAAGUAAAAAGAACUGAAUCCAACAGCUUGGAAACCACAUCUACUUUUUCUUGUGAUUUGCACGGGUUAGGCGGAAAUUUCAUAUUGGGUCCCCUUUUCUUAGAGCUUGGUAUUCUCCCUCAGUGUUGGCUGACUGAAGUAUUCAUCAAAUUAUCAACUGCAGGAAUAAGAAAUGUAGAUACAACAAUCAGUGGAUGACCAAUAAGAAGAUGAAGUAGAUAUUGGAGGACCAAGAGGAAGAUGAAGUAGAUAUUGGGAGGAAGAUGAAGUAGAUAUUGGAGAUAUUGGUGACGAAGUAGAUAAAAAUCAUCCAUUUCUAAUUUUCUGUUUUAACUUUUUUUUCAAAACUGUUUUGUUUGUUUUGUUUGAUAGGGAUAUUUUUGGAUUGUUAUAUGAUUUUAUGAGAAUUUUUAUAAUU